UACGAAGGGGGCUAGCGUUGUUCGGAAUUACUGGGCGUAAAGCGCACGUAGGCGGAUAUUUAAGUCAGGGGUGAAAUCCCAGAGCUCAACUCUGGAACUGCCUUUGAUACUGGGUAUCUCGAGUAUGGAAGAGGUGAGUGGAAUUCCGAGUGUAGAGGUGAAAUUCGUAGAUAUUCGGAGGAACACCAGUGGCGAAGGCGGCUCACUGGUCCAUUACUGACGCUGAGGUGCGAAAGCGGGGGGAGCAAACAGG
rnacentral:rRNA from 1 species